GAUGAAGAACGCAGCGAAAUGCGAUACUUGGUGUGAAUUGCAGAAUCCCGUGAACCAUCGAGUCUUUGAACGCACAUUGCGCCCCCUGGUAUUCCGGGGGGCAUGCCUGUCCGAGCGUCAUUGCCGCCCUCAAGCACGGCUUGUGUGUUGGGCCCCCGCCCCCCGGCUUCGGGGGGCGGGCCCGAAAGGCAGCGGCGGCACCGCGUCCGGUCCUCGAGCGUAUGGGGCUUCGUCACCCGCUCUGUAGGCCCGGCCGGCGCCCGCCGGCGACCCCAAUCGAUCUUUCCAGGUUGACCUCGGAUCAGGUAGGGAUACCCGCUGAACUUAAGCAUAUCAAUAAGCGGAGGA
rnacentral:misc_RNA from 1 species